UACGUAGGGACCAAGCGUUGUUCGGAUUUACUGGGCGUAAAGGGCGCGUAGGCGGCAAUUCAAGUCAUCUGUGAAAUCUCCGGGCUUAACCCGGAACGGUCAGGUGAUACUGUUUUGCUAGAGUGCGGAAGGGGCAAUCGGAAUUCUCGGUGUAGCGGUGAAAUGCGUAGAUAUCGAGAGGAACACCAGAGGUGAAGACGGGUUGCUGGGCCGACACUGACGCUGAGACACGAAAGCGUGGGUAGCAAACAGG
rnacentral:rRNA from 1 species